GCUGCCCAAGUCUUUUGAAAAUGUAGUUCACUGAUAGCCGUUCCUGAAAAUAUAUUGAGCCUAGCAACUAUGACAGAAUCCUAAAAAGGGCCCAGUUAUUGGAAAGCUUAUUAAGAGAAGCUGGAGUAGCAUGGAGACACAAAGCCUCCCAGCAAAGGUGAGCUUGUGAGUUGGCAGAUUCCUUCAGGAGGGAGUGCUCUCCGACGGGGGCCGAGGCAGCUGAGCACACGUCAGCAAGGCAGUGUCUUUUGUUCGUGGACUCAGUCCUGGCACCAGCAAUCCCCAGGUUACAGACUUUUUGGAAGCACAGGGCUGUGUCACUUUCCUCGUAUUUAUGUAGCAGACAGAAGUCUUCUAGCACCUACCACUACUCACUGUGCAAAAGCAUUUAUGAAGCUUAUAAGUGAGAAAUAAAAAAUGCACCAGCAAGUUAAUAGGCACUUCAGGGGAAGAGGUAAGAAGCAAAGGAAGAACAGCAAACAAUGAACGAUCUGAAUGGCUACAUUAAAUCAUAACGUAUUUUUCAUCAAACCUAUGCAUAGCUCAUGCUUGAGAGCGCUUCAACACAGCAAAUACACAAAGAACUGUAGGAACCACCUGUGUUGUAACAAUAUCUGUGGGCCUAAAAGACUGGCAUCUACUUAUUGUAGAUUGUGAAGAUGAAAUGUUAAAACAGACAAGUCAACAUGAAAGUGUAGAUAUUUUAGC